UGUGUUAUCGGAUGCAACAACAGACAAGGAGACAAGCCUGGGCUGUGUUUCAACAGAAUUCCUUUCGAUAAAGAAAACCUUGGCAGCAGUGUAAGAUGAGGGAUUCUCCACAAGUGCACCUCAGCCAUGUUUGGAGUCACUGCCUGUCUGUCUGGAGAAAGUCCGACUUUGCUGCAAUCUUGCCACGCCAAACCUACGAACCCCCCCUCCGUCCUGCCCGCUUGCCUGUCCCCCUGUCCUGUUACCUGUGUUGAAAAUAAAACCUGAGUUACCAUU